rnacentral:rRNA from 1 species
AGCAGCCGCGGUAAUUCCAGCUCCAAUAGCGUAUAUUAAAGUUGUUGUGGUUAAAAAGCUCGUAGUUGAACCUUGGGCCUGGCUGGCCGGUCCGCCUCACCGCGUGUACUGGUCCGGCCGGGCCUUUCCCUCUGUGGAACCCCAUGCCCUUCACUGGGUGUGGCGGGGAAACAGGACUUUUACUUUGAAAAAAUUAGAGUGCUCCAGGCAGGCCUAUGCUCGAAUACAUUAGCAUGGAAUAAUAGAAUAGGACGUGUGGUUCUAUUUUGUUGGUUUCUAGGACCGCCGUAAUGAUUAAUAGGGAUAGUCGGGGGCAUCAGUAUUCAAUUGUCAGAGGUGAAAUUCUUGGAUUUAUUGAAGACUAACUACUGCGAAAGCAUUUGCCAAGGAUGUUUUCAUUAAUCAGGAGCGAAAGUUAGGGGAUCGAAGACGAUCAGAUACCGUCGUAGUCUUAACCAUAAACUAUGCCGACUAGGGAUCGGACGAUGUUAUUAUUUGACUCGUUCGGCACCUUACGGGA